UUAGAUACCCUAUUAUACUAAUGGAAACUUAAAUUAUUAAUAGAUAUAUUCUUUAAACUUGAAGAAUUUGGCGGUGAUUUAGUCUUGUUAGAGGAACCUGUUUUUGAAUCGAUACACCACGUAGAAUUUUACUUAUAUUAGUUAGUUUGUAUACCGUCAUUAUUAGAUGAUUUUGAAAAAAUGAAUUAUUAAAAUUUAUAGAUAAUAAAUUAAAUUAGAUCAAGGUGCAGCUUAUAAAUAAGUUAAAAUGGGUUACAAUAAAUUUUAUUUAUUAUGAAUUAGUUGCAAGAAAUGGCGUUAGGAAAGUGGAUUUAAUUGUAUAGUAAGUUUAGUAAGCUUAGUAGAUAUUAGCUCUAAAUCAUGUACAUAUCGCCG
rnacentral:rRNA from 1 species